UACAGAGGGUGCAAGCGUUGUUCGGAAUCAUUGGGCGUAAAGCGCGGGCAGGCGGUUGGACAAGUGGGAUGUGAAAGCGCUCGGCUAAACCGGGCGAGGCCAUUCCAAACUGUCUGACUGGAGGGCAGUAGAGGUGGGUAGAAUUCCGGGUGGAGUGGUGAAAUGCGUAGAUAUCUGGAGGAACACCGGUGGCGAAGGCGGCAUCCUGGACCGAGAUUGACGCUGAGGCGCGAAAGCCAGGGGAGCAAACGGG
rnacentral:rRNA from 1 species